CCCUACGAGAGAGCCAGACUAAGGAACAUCACCGUCACCAUGCAUGUAGCCUCUUAUCAAAAACACAUUUGAUCUGAAAAUCUAGGGGAGUGAAGAAAGGACAGAGAGAAAAGCCGCACACCCCGAGAUCAACAGGCAGCAGCUACAGAGUCCUGAUAUUCCUCCACGCCUUUAUCCAGGCCCCCUGCUGCCACCUGUCUUUCUCAAGACCCCGAAUCUUCCCGACCUCACCCAGAAUGUCCUGCACCACCACCUGGACAGGGAGGAUUUUACUCCGCAAGGAUACCUGACACCGUGCACUCCACGUGAAAUAACGGACUACGAGACUAACUAGAAAAAGUGUUUUCAAAUCAUAAUCCCGGCGAGUCUGGAAUGCCCCGUACACCCACUCUGCAUAACUCAUCUGGGGGAGGAAGGGUAUACUCAGAGCCCUCCCCACCCUCUUGUACACCUCUAUAUUAAAAGGACACUGAAGGAGAA